rnacentral:lncRNA from 1 species
CUCAUGACAUGGGAGAAUUUAAUAGUGGCAGGCUUUAUAUUUGCACAGGUUUAUAUUUAUCGCUUGAUUUAUUAGGACCCAAGCAUGAGGCUUAAGAAGAAUGGAAUUGUAAAGUUCAACUUGAGGGUCUAUGUAGAAGCAGAGAUUCCAUUGAAAAAUCGCAUACAUGUGCUGGGACAGAAGCAAAAAACUGUACUUAAGUACAGAGAAUUGAGUUUGACAUGCUUCCCAGCUUGUUCGUGGGCUGUUUUGCUUGUUUGCUUGUCUGUUCUGUUUCAUUUUCAGGGUUUUGCUUUGUUUCGUGUCAGAUUUUUCUUUGUAUCCCUAGCUGUUCUGGAGCUCCCGUGUAGACCAGACCAGCCUGAAACACAGAGAGAG